rnacentral:rRNA from 1 species
GACGAACGCUGGCGGCGUGCUUAACACAUGCAAGUCGAACGGAAAGGCCCUGCUUUUGUGGGGUGCUCGAGUGGCGAACGGGUGUGUAACACGUGAGUAACCUGCCCUUGACUUUGGGAUAACUUCAGGAAACUGGGGCUAAUACCGGAUAGGAGCUCCUGCUGCAUGGUGGGGGUUGGAAAGUUUCGGCGGUUGGGGAUGGACUCGCGGCUUAUCCUCUUGUUGGUGGGGUAGUGGCUUACCAAGGCUUUGACGGGUAGCCGGCCUGAGAGGGUGACCGGCCACAUUGGGACGGAGAUACGGCCCAGACUCCUACGGGAGGCAGCGGUGGGGAAUAUUGCACAAUGGGCGGAAGCCUGAUGCAGCAACGCCGCGUGCGGGAUGACGGCCUUCGGGUUGUAAACCGCUUUCGCCUGUGACGAAGCGUGAGUGACGGAAAUGGGUAAAGAAGCACCGGCUAACUACGU